GGGCAAUGCACCAAGCUUCCGCAAGAUAAGCUUUCUGAGGCAAAGAGCUGCAUGUACAACACGGACAUCGAAAAGUUGCAUACAGGCUCUUAGUGGAACAUACAAAAAUGAGAAGAUUCUUGUGGCAAAUAGAGGAGAGAUCGCAGUCAGGGUGAUUCGAACUGCACAUGAGAUGGGGAUACCAUGUGUUGCUGUGUACUCCUCCAUUGAUCGCGAUGCUCUUCAUGUCCGACUUGCAGACGAGGCAGUUUGCAUCGGUGAAGCACCAAGUAGUCAAUCAUAUCUUGUCGUUGCAAAUGUUUUAUCUGCUGCAGUUAGCCAUGGCUGCACUAUGCUGCAUCCAGGGUAUGGUUUCCUGUCCGAGAAUGCUGGUUUUGUUGAUAUAUGUAAAGGGCAUGGAAUCAAUUUUAU
rnacentral:misc_RNA from 1 species